GUUGGUACAAGCUCAGUGUGAGUGUGACAGAUCUACCAGAACCUACUAUAUCCCCUGUGGGGGAGCUGAUCGCUGGGAAGCCAAUAACACUGACUUGUACGGCUCAUCCAGCACCUCAAGGGUGCAAGGGAAACAUCACAUGGGGAGGAAGGAUAAA